rnacentral:rRNA from 1 species
CCUACGGGUGGCAGCAGUGGGGAAUAUUGCACAAUGGGGGAAACCCUGAUGCAGCGACGCCGCGUGAGUGAAGAAGUAAUUCGUUAUGGAAAGCUCUAUCAGCAGGGAAGAAAAGGACGGUACCUGAGUAAGAAGCCGCGGCUAAGAACGUGACAGCAGCCGCGGGAAUACGUAGGGGGCAAGCGUUAUCCGGAUUUACUGGGGGUAAAGGGAGCGUAGACGGCAGUGCAAGUCGGGAGUGAAAGGCGGGGGCUCAAACCCCGGACUGCUCUGGAAACUGUAGGGCUGGAGUGCAGGAGAGGUAAGUGGAAUUCCUAGUGUAGCGGUGAAAUGCGUAGAUAUUAGGAGGAACACCAGUGGCGAAGGCGGCUUACUGGACUGUAACUGACGUUGAGGCUCGAAAGCGUGGGGAGCAAACAGGAUUAGAUACCCUUGUAGUC